UACAGAGGUCCCAAGCGUUGUUCGGAUUCACUGGGCGUAAAGGGUGCGUAGGUGGUGAGGUAAGUCGGAUGUGAAAUCUCCGAGCUCAACUCGGAAAUGGCAUUGGAAACUACCUUGCCCGAGGGUUGGAGGGGGGACUGGAAUGCUUGGUGUAGCAGUGAAAUGCGUAGAUAUCAAGCGGAACACCAGUGGCGAAGGCGAGUCCCUGGACAACUCCUGACACUGAGGCACGAAAGCUAGGGGAGCAAACAGG
rnacentral:rRNA from 1 species